rnacentral:rRNA from 1 species
UACGUAGGCAGCGAGCGUUGUUCGGAUUUACUGGGCGUAAAGGGUGUGUAGGCGGCUCUCUAAGUUUGGUGUGAAAUCUCCCGGCUCAACCGGGAGGGUGCGCCGAAAACUGGAGGGCUGGAGUGCGGGAAGGGAGAGUAGAAUUCCUGGUGUAGCGGUGAAAUGCGUAGAUAUCAGGAGGAAUACCGGUGGUGCAGGCGGCUCUCUGGACCGCGACUGACGCUGAGACACGAAAGCGUGGGUAGCAAACAGG